GGGUCAGUAGGUUGGUCGUGCCACCGGUACGUACUGGUCUCACUGAUUCCUCCUUCCUGAAGAACCUUAAUGCCAUUAAUUUGGUGUUGCGGGGAAACAGGACUGUUACUUUGAAAAGAUUAGAGUGUUUAAAGCAAGCUAACGCUUGAAUACAUUAGCAUGGAAUAAUGAAAUAGGACGAUCGAUCCUAUUUUGUUGGUUUCUAGGAUUGACGUA
rnacentral:rRNA from 1 species